rnacentral:rRNA from 1 species
GGCCGGUCCGCCUCACCGCGUGUACUUGNUNGGCCGGGCCUUUCNUUCUGGAGAACCUCGGGCNNAUAUUGGGUGUGUUGGGGAACCUGGACUUUUACUUUGAAAAAAUUAGAGUGGUCAAAGAAGGGCUUUGCUCGAAUACGUUAGCAUGGAAUAAUAGAAUAGGACGUGCGGNCCUAUUUUGUUGGUUUCUAGGACCGCCGUAAUGAAUAAUAGGGACAGUCGGGGGCAUCAAUAUUCAAUUGUNAGAGGUGAAAUUCUUGGAUUUAUUGAAGACUAACUACUGCGAAAGCAUUUGCCNAGGAUGUUUUCAUUAAUCANNGAACGAAANGUAGGGGAUCGAANACUAUCGGAUACCGNNNAAGACUUAACCGUAAUCUAUGCCGACUAGGGAUCGGGCGAUGUUCUUUUUCUGACUCGCUCGGCACCUUACGAGAAAUCNAAGUUUUUGGGUUCUGGGGGGAGUAUGGUCGCACGGCUGAUGCUUCAGNCAAUUGACNGAAGGGCCCCACCAGGCGAGGAGCCUGCUGGCUUAAUUUGACUCUACGUGGAGAAACUCUCCAGGUCCAGAUGAAAUAAGGAUUGACAGAUUGANAGCUCUUUCUUGAUUUUUCAGGUGGUGGNGCNUGGCCNAUCUUAGUUGGUGGAGUGAUUUGUCUGCUUAAUUGUGAUAACGAACGAGACCUUUACCUGCUAAANUAGGCNNANUAGCUUUGGCUGGUCGCCGGCUUCUUAGAGGGACUAUCGGCUCAAGCCGAUGGAAGUUUGANGCAAUAACAGGUCUGUGAUGCCCUUAGAUGUUCUGGGCCGCACGCGCGCUACACUGACAGAGCCAACGAGUUAUUCACCUUGGCCGGAAGGCCUGGGUAAUCUUGUUAAACUCUGUCGUGCUGGGAUA